GGAGAUCGUUGAGAUCGAGUUUCUGGUGGCAAAAUUAAGGAAGGCCUAUGGAACAACGGAGGAAAGUGAUUUGGUUGGGUGGCGUGGAGGAGAUAUGGGGAAGGGAGCUAUUUAUAAAGCUGAUAGAUUGCUCGAUCGUUUGGUUGGUGAAGCGAAUAAAUUAAGCUGCACUGGGUGUGUUAUUUUGGCUUGUGUCUCGGGACCCUUCUUUUUGAGCGUAUGGAUAACGUGACCAUAUGUCGGGACUCUACCACCGCCACGGCUUGGUGAGAUCGAUGUGGUAGCGAGCGUCUGGAAUACUGGAGAGAG
rnacentral:lncRNA from 1 species